rnacentral:rRNA from 1 species
AGGGUGACAGCCCCGUACACAAAAAUGCACAUACUGUGAGCUCGAUGAGUAGGGCGGGACACGUGGUAUCCUGUCUGAAUAUGGGGGGACCAUCCUCCAAGGCUAAAUACUCCUGACUGACCGAUAGUGAACCAGUACCGUGAGGGAAAGGCGAAAAGAACCCCGGCGAGGGGAGUGAAAAAGAACCUGAAACCGUGUACGUACAAGCAGUGGGAGCACGCUUCGGCGUGUGACUGCGUACCUUUUGUAUAAUGGGUCAGCGACUUAUAUUCUGUAGCAAGGUUAACCGAAUAGGGGAGCCGAAGGGAAACCGAGUCUUAACUGGGCGUUAAGUUGCAGGGUAUAGACCCGAAACCCGGUGAUCUAGCCAUGGGCAGGUUGAAGGUUGGGUAACACUAACUGGAGGACCGAACCGACUAAUGUUGAAAAAUUAGCGGAUGACUUGUGGCUGGGGGUGAAAGGCCAAUCAAACCGGGAGAUAGCUGGUUCUCCCCGAAAGCUAUUUAGGUAGCGCCUCGUGAAUUCAUCUCCGGGGGUAGAGCACUGUUUCGGCAAGGGGGUCAUCCCGACUUACCAACCCGAUGCAAACUGCGAAUACCGGAGAAUGUUAUCACGGGAGACACACGGCGGGUGCUAACGUCCGUCGUGAAGAGGGAAACAACCCAGACCGCCAGCUAAGGUCCCAAAGUCAUGGUUAAGUGGGAAACGAUGUGGGAAGGCCCAGACAGCCAGGAUGUUGGCUUAGAAGCAGCCAUCAUUUAAAGAAAGCGUAAUAGCUCACUGGUCGAGUCGGCCUGCGCGGAAGAUGUAACGGGGCUAAACCAUGCACCGAAGCUGCGGCAGCGACACUGUGUGUUGUUGGGUAGGGGAGCGUUCUGUAAGCCUGUGAAGGUGUACUGUGAGGUAUGCUGGAGGUAUCAGAAGUGCGAAUGCUGACAUAAGUAACGAUAAAGCGGGUGAA